UACGUAGGGUGCGAGCGUUGUCCGGAAUUACUGGCGUAAAGAGCUCGUAGGUGGUUUGUCGCGUUGUUCGUGAAAUCCCGUGGCUUAACUGCGGGCGUGCGGGCGAUACGGGCAGACUGGAGUACUGCAGGGGAGACUGGAAGUUCCUGGUGUAGCGGUGAAAUGCGCAGAUAUCAGGAGGAACACCGGUGGCGAAGGCGGCUCUCUGGGACGGGUACUGACGGCUGAGACGCGAAAGCGUGGGGAGCGAACAGGAUAGAAACCCCUG
rnacentral:rRNA from 1 species